GAUGAACGCUGGCGGCGUGCCUAAUACAUGCAAGUCGAGCGAACAGACGAGGAGCUUGCUCCUCUGACGUUAGCGGCGGACGGGUGAGUAACACGUGGAUAACCUACCUAUAAGACUGGGAUAACUUCGGGAAACCGGAGCUAAUACCGGAUAAUAUAUUGAACCGCAUGGUUCAAUAGUGAAAGACGGUUUUGCUGUCACUUAUAGAUGGAUCCGCGCCGCAUUAGCUAGUUGGUAAGGUAACGGCUUACCAAGGCAACGAUGCGUAGCCGACCUGAGAGGUGAUCGGCCACACUGGAACUGAGACACGGUCCAGACUCCUACGGGAGGCAGCAGUAGGGAAUCUUCCGCAAUGGGCGAAAGCCUGACGGAGCAACGCCGCGUGAGUGAUGAAGGUCUUCGGAUCGUAAAACUCUGUUAUUAGGGAAGAACAAAUGUGUAAGUAACUAUGCACGUCUUGACGGUACCUAAUCAGAAAGCCACGGCUAACUACGUG
rnacentral:rRNA from 1 species